CCUACGGGAGGCUGCAGUGAGGAAUAUUUGUCAAUGGACGAGAGUCUGAACCAGCCACGUAGCGUGAAGGAUGACUGCCCUAUGGGUUGUAAACUUCUUUUAUAUGGGAAUAAAACAGGGUAUGCAUACCCUCUUGUAUGUACCAUAUGAAUAAGGAUCGGCUAACUCCGUGCCAGCAGCCGCGGUAAUACGGAGGAUCCGAGCGUUCUCCGGAUUUAUUGGGUUUAAAGGGAGCGUAGGUGGAUUGUUAAGUCAGUUGUGAAAGUUUGCGGCUCAACCGUAAAAUUGCAGUUGAAACUGGCAGUCGUGAGUACAGUAGAGGUGGGCGGAAUUCGUGGUGUAGCGGUGAAAUGCUUAGAUAUCACGAAGAACUCCGAUUGCGAAGGCAGCUCACUGGACUGCAACUGACACUGAUGCUCGAAAGUGUGGGUAUCAAACAGGAUUAGAUACCCGAGUAGUC
rnacentral:rRNA from 1 species